rnacentral:rRNA from 1 species
UACGUAGGUGGCAAGCGUUGUCCGGAAUUAUUGGGCGUAAAGCGCGCGCAGGCGGUCCUUUAAGUCUGAUGUGAAAGCCCACGGCUCAACCGUGGAAGGUCAUUGGAAACUGGGGGACUUGAGUACAGAAGAGGAAAGCGGAAUUCCACGUGUAGCGGUGAAAUGCGUAGAGAUCAUGAGGAAGACCAGUGGCGAAGGCGGGUCUCUGGACAGUUCCUGACACUGAGGCACGAAGGCCAGGGGAGCAAACGGG